rnacentral:rRNA from 1 species
UACGUAGGGUGCUAGCGUUGUUCGGAAUUAUUGGGCGUAAAGCGCGUGUAGGUGGUUUGUUAAGUCGGAUGUGAAAUCCCUGGGCUCAACCGAGGAAGUGCAUUCGAAACUACCAAGCUAGAGGACGGCAGAGGAUGGUGGAAUUCCUAGUGUAGAGGUGAAAUUCGUAGAUAUUAGGAGGAAUACCGGCGGCGAAGGCGGCCAUCUGGGCCGUUCCUGACACUGAGACGCGAAAGCGUGGGUAGCAAACAGG